GACGAACGCUGGCGGCGUGCCUAAUACAUGCAAGUAGAACGCUGAAGGAGGAGCUUGCUCUUCUGGAUGAGUUGCGAACGGGUGAGUAACGCGUAGGUAACCUGCCUGGUAGCGGGGGAUAACUAUUGGAAACGAUAGCUAAUAACGCAUAACAGUAGAUGUUGCAUGACAUUUGCUUAAAAGGUGCAAUUGCACCACUACCAGAUGGACCUGCGUUGUAUUAGCUAGUUGGUGGGGUAACGGCUCACCAAGGCGACGAUACAUAGCCGACCUGAGAGGGUGAUCGGCCACACUGGGACUGAGACACGGCCCAGACUCCUACGGGAGGCAGCAGUAGGGAAUCUUCGGCAAUGGACGGAAGUCUGACCGAGCAACGCCGCGUGAGUGAAGAAGGUUUUCGGAUCGUAAAGCUCUGUUGUAAGAGAAGAACGAGUGUGAGAGUGGAAAGUUCACACUGUGACGGUAUCUUACCAGAAAGGGACGGCUAACUACGUG
rnacentral:rRNA from 1 species